rnacentral:RNase_P_RNA from 1 species
GGGAGAAGGCGGACAGCUGACGCCCCUGCUUGGGGUGAGGAAAGUCCCCCCUCCAUAGAGUAGGAGGAACGGCACAAGCCGUUACGGCGAGAGUCGUGGAAACGGAGCAGAAACGACACAGUCAUAUGGGUUUCACGGAAAAGCCUCUGGCUUUUCCUGAAAUAUUAGGAAAACGCCUUCGGCGUUUUCCUAAUAUUACAAUGAUUCUGCGAAGAUGAGGUUCCAUAUGGAUAUGGUGAAACGGCUAUCCACUCUGGAGCAAGCCUAAACGUUGGGAUGACUGCUCAGGACCAAAGGUAAGGCGCUUAGUCGAAUGCUGUCUUAAACAGAAGGGGGCUUACGUCCUUGACCC